rnacentral:rRNA from 1 species
GAUGAACGCUGGCGGCGUGCCUAAUACAUGCAAGUCGAGCGAACAGAUGAGGAGCUUGCUCCUCUGACGUUAGCGGCGGACGGGUGAGUAACACGUGGAUAACCUACCUAUAAGACUGGGAUAACUUCGGGAAACCGGAGCUAAUACCGGAUAAUAUAUUGAACCGCAUGGUUCAAUAGUGAAAGACGGUUUUGCUGUCACUUAUAGAUGGAUCCGCGCCGCAUUAGCUAGUUGGUAAGGUAACGGCUUACCAAGGCAACCAUGCGUAGCCGACCUGAGAGGGUGAUCAGCCACACUGGAACUAAGAGACGGUCCAGACUCCUACGGGAGGCAGCAGUAGGGAAUCUUCCGCAAUGGGCGAAAGCGUGACGGAGCAACGCCGCGUGAGUGAUGAAGGUCUUCGGGUCGUAAAACUCUGUUAGUAAGGAAGAACAAAUGUGUAAGUAACUAUGCACGUCUUGACGGUACCUAAUCAGAAAGCCACGGCUAACUACGUG